rnacentral:rRNA from 1 species
GUGGGGAAUAUUGGACAAUGGGCGAAAGCCUGAUCCAGCCAUGCCGCGUGUGUGAAGAAGGUCUUCGGAUUGUAAAGCACUUUAAGUUGGGAGGAAGGGCAGUAAGUUAAUACCUUGCUGUUUUGACGUUACCGACAGAAUAAGCACCUGCUAACUUCGUGCCAGCAGCCGCGGUAAUACGAAGGGUGCAAGCGUUAAUCGGAAUUACUGGGCGUAAAGCGCGCGUAGGUGGUUUUGUAAGUUGGAGGUGAAAUCCCCGGGCUCAACCUGGGAACUGCCUCCAAAACUGCAUGACUAGAGUACGGUAGAGUGUAGUGGAAUUUCCUGUGUAGCGGUGAAAUGCGUAGAUAUAGGAAGGAACACCAGUGGCGAAGGCGACUACCUGGACUGAUACUGACACUGAGGUGCGAAAGCGUGGGGAGCAAACAGGAUUAGAAACCCUUGUAGUCC